GGAUGUGAGGGUGAUCUGGCUGUAACAUCUGUCACCCCAUUGAUCACCAGGGUUGAUUCGGCUGAUCUG
rfam:Cricetulus griseus cell line CHO-K1, whole genome shotgun sequence.